rnacentral:rRNA from 1 species
GAUGAACGCUAGCGGCAGGCCUAAUACAUGCAAGUCGGACGGGAUCCAUUGAUAGCUUGCUAUCAAUGGUGAGAGUGGCGCACGGGUGCGUAACGCGUGAGCAACCUGCCUCCAUCAGGGGGAUAGCCUCUCGAAAGAGAGAUUAACACCGCAUAAUAUCAACAGUUCGCAUGCUCAGUUGAUUAAAUAUUUAUAGGAUGGAGAUGGGCUCGCGUGACAUUAGCUAGUUGGUAGGGUAACGGCCUACCAAGGCGACGAUGUCUAGGGGCUCUGAGAGGAGAAUCCCCCACACUGGUGCUGCGGCACGGACCAGAACGCUACGGGAGGCAGCAGUAUGGUAUAUUGGUCAAUGGGCGGUAGCCUGACCCAGCCAUGCCGCGUGCAGGAUGACUGCCCUAUGGGUUGUAAACUGCUUUUGACCAGGAAUAGACCUAAAUACGAGUAUUUAGCUGAAUGUACUGGAAGAAUAAGGAUCGGCUAACUCCGUG